rnacentral:rRNA from 1 species
AUGAACGCUAGCGGCAGGCUUAACACAUGCAAGUCGAGGGGCAGCAUAAUGGAUAGCAAUAUCUAUGGUGGCGACCGGCGCACGGGUGCGUAACGCGUAUGCAACCUACCUUUAACAGGGGGAUAACACUGAGAAAUUGGUACUAAUACCCCAUAAUAUCAUAGAAGGCAUCUUUUAUGGUUGAAAAUUCCGAUGGUUAGAGAUGGGCAUGCGUUGUAUUAGCUAGUUGGUGGGGUAACGGCUCACCAAGGCGACGAUACAUAGGGGGACUGAGAGGUUAACCCCCCACACUGGUACUGAGACACGGACCAGACUCCUACGGGAGGCAGCAGUGAGGAAUAUUGGUCAAUGGACGCAAGUCUGAACCAGCCAUGCCGCGUGCAGGAUGACGGCUCUAUGAGUUGUAAACUGCUUUUGUACGAGGGUAAACGCAGAUACGUGUAUCUGUCUGAAAGUAUCGUACGAAUAAGGAUCGGCUAACUCCGUGCCAGCAGCCGCGGUAAUACGGAGGAUUCAAGCGUUAUCCGGAUUUAUUGGGUUUAAAGGGUGCGUAGGCGGUUUGAUAAGUUAGAGGUGAAAUUUCGGGGCUCAACCCUGAACGUGCCUCUAAUACUGUUGAGCUAGAGAGUAGUUGCGGUAGGCGGAAUGUAUGGUGUAGCGGUGAAAUGCUUAGAGAUCAUACAGAACACCGAUUGCGAAGGCAGCUUACCAAACUAUAUCUGACGUUGAGGCACGAAAGCGUGGGGAGCAAACAGGAUUAGAUACCCUGGUAGUCCACGCAGUAAACGAUGAUAACUCGUUGUCGGCGAUACACAGUCGGUGACUAAGCGAAAGCGAUAAGUUAUCCACCUGGGGAGUACGUUCGCAAGAAUGAAACUCAAAGGAAUUGACGGGGGCCCGCACAAGCGGUGGAGUAUGUGGUUUAAUUCGACGCAACGCGAAGAACCUUACCAGGUCUUGACAUCGUAUGCAUAAUGUAGAGAUACAUGAAGUCCUUCGGGACAUACAGACAGGUGGUGCAUGGUUGUCGUCAGCUCGUGCCGUGAGGUGUCGGGUUAAGUCCCAUAACGAGCGCAACCCCUACCGUUAGUUGCCAUCAGGUGAAGCUGGGCACUCUGGCGGGACUGCCGGUGUAAGCCGAGAGGAAGGUGGGGAUGACGUCAAAUCAGCACGGCCCUUACGUCCGGGGCUACACACGUGUUACAAUGGUAGGUACAGAGGGCAGCUACCCAGCGAUGGGAUGCGAAUCUCGAAAGCCUAUCUCAGUUCGGAUUGGAGGCUGAAACCCGCCUCCAUGAAGUUGGAUUCGCUAGUAAUCGCGCAUCAGCCAUGGCGCGGUGAAUACGUUCCCGGGCCUUGUACACACCGCCCGUCAAGCCAUGGGAGCCGGGGGUGCCUGAAGUUCGUGACCGCAAGGAGCGACCUAGGGCAAAACUGGUGACUGGGGCU